GUUUACAUUAAAACAGGACUUUGGUGAGCAUGUGAUGUCAAGACACCUUCUUUCUACCCGGAAGACAAUGACAUUAUGUGACACUGAGGAGGAGAGUGUGUAUUUCAAGACCAGCAGACAAAAUGAAAGCUUGUUACCUACAUGUAGUGUAAUUCUAGGCCAUUCCCAUGAAAUACUGGACUUAUUCCUUGCCAUCUUCCAUGUAAACAGGUGGUUUAGUUAAUAAAAAG
rnacentral:lncRNA from 1 species